AUUGAACGCUGGCGGCAGGCCUAACACAUGCAAGUCGAACGAGUGGCGGACGGGUGAGUAAUGUCUGGGAAACUGCCCGAUGGAGGGGGAUAACUACUGGAAACGGUAGCUAAUACCGCAUACCAUCGGAUGUGCCCAGAUGGGAUUAGCUAGUAGGUGGGGUAACGGCUCACCUAGGCGACGAUCACUAGCUGGUCUGAGCGGAUGACCGGCCAAAUGGGAACGAGAACCCGGCCCAGAUUCCUACGGGAGGCAGCAGUGGGGAAUAUUGCACAAUGGGCGAAAGCUGGAUGCAGCCAUGCCGCGUGGAUGAAGAAGGCCUUGGGGUUGUAAAGUACGUUCAGCGAGGAGGCGGUACUCGCAGAAGAAGCACCGGCUAACUCCGUGCCAGCAGCCGCGGUAAUAC
rnacentral:rRNA from 1 species